UGGCCAGACAUGGAAGGAACAAAAAAGAUUUGCAUUGAUGAUACUCAAGAAUUUUGAAUUAGGGAAGAAGAGCUUAGAGCAGCACAUACAGGAAGAGGCCAACCAUCUUCUGGAGGCCAUGGGAGAGGAGAAAGGACAGCCUUUUGACCCUCACUACAGUUUCCAAUAUCAUUUGUUUCAUUACCUUUGGGGAUCACUUUGAGUAUGAUGACAAUAAGUUUCAGGAGCUGCUGAAGUUAACAGAUGAAACCCUAUGAAAAAGAUCUUGCCCUGGAGAACAAAUGGCCAUAUCUGAACUGUUCAUUUUCUUCACUUUUUACACAAAAAUUUACCUUCAGUCCCCCAGUCAAUGAGAAGCUGA
rnacentral:lncRNA from 1 species